GAGUUUGAUCCUGGCUCAGAUUGAACGCUGGCGGCAUGCCUUACACAUGCAAGUCGAACGGCAGCAUGAUCUAGCUUGCUAGAUUGAUGGCGAGUGGCGAACGGGUGAGUAAUACAUCGGAACGUGCCCUGUAGUGGGGGAUAACUAGUCGAAAGAUUAGCUAAUACCGCAUACGACCUGAGGGUGAAAGUGGGGGACCGCAAGGCCUCAUGCUAUAGGAGCGGCCGAUGUCUGAUUAGCUAGUUGGUGGGGUAAAGGCCCACCAAGGCGACGAUCAGUAGCUGGUCUGAGAGGACGAUCAGCCACACUGGGACUGAGACACGGCCCAGACUCCUACGGGAGGCAGCAGUGGGGAAUUUUGGACAAUGGGCGAAAGCCUGAUCCAGCAAUGCCGCGUGUGUGAAGAAGGCCUCGGU
rnacentral:rRNA from 1 species